rnacentral:rRNA from 1 species
CGGCCUUCCGGAUGUAAACCUCUUUAGCAGGGACGAAAGCGGAAGGACGGUACUGCAGAAGAAGCACCGGCCAAUACGUGCCAGCAGCCGCGGGUAAUACGUAGGGGCAAGCGUUGUCUGGAAUUAUUGGGCGUAAAGAGCUCGUAGGCGGUUUGUUGCGUCGGCUGUGAAAACCUGAGGCUCAACUCAGGCCUGCAGUCGAUACGAGCAGACUAGAGUGUUGCAGGGGAGACCGGAAUUCCUGGUGUAGCGGUGAAAUGCGCAGAUAUCAGGAGGAACACCGGUGGCGAAGGCGGGUCUCUGGGCAACAACUGACGCUGAGGAGCGAAAGCGUGGGGAGCGAACAGGAUUAGAUACCCUGGUAGUCCACGCCGUAAACGUUGGGCGCUAGGUGUGGGGCUCAUUCCACGAGUUCCGUGCCGCAGCUAACGCAUUAAGCGCCCCGCCUGGGGAGUACGGCCGCAAGGCUAAAACUCAAAGGAAUUGACGGGGGCCCGCACAAGCGGCGGAGCAUGUUGCUUAAUUCGAUGCAACGCGAAGAACCUUACCUAGGCUUGACAUGCACGGAAAUCUUUCAGAGAUGGAAGGUCCGUAAGGGCCGUGCACAGGUGGUGCAUGGUUGUCGUCAGCUCGUGUCGUGAGAUGUUGGGUUAAGUCCCGCAACGAGCGCAACCCUCGUUCUAUGUUGCCAGCGGAUAAUGCCGGGGACUCAUAGGAGACUGCCGGGGUCAACUCGGAGGAAGGUGGGGAUGACGUCAAAUCAUCAUGCCCCUUAUGUCUAGGGCUGCAAACAUGCUACAAUGGCCGGUACAAAGGGCUGCGAUACCGCGAGGUGGAGCGAAUCCCAAAAAGCCGGUCUCAGUUCGGAUUGGGGUCUGCAACUCGACCCCAUGAAGUUGGAGUCGCUAGUAAUCGCAGAUCAGCAACGCCGCGGUGAAUACGUUCCCGGG